UGUUUCCAUUAAUCAAGAACGAAAGUUAGAGGUUCGAAGGCGAUCAGAUACCGCCCUAGUUCUAACCAUAAACGAUGCCAGCCAGCGAUCCGGCUGUGUUCCUCAAAUGACACGCCGGGCAGCUUCCGGGAAACCAAAGCUUUUGGGUUCCGGGGGAAGUAUGGUUGCAAAGCUGAAACUUAAAGGAAUUGACGGAAGGGCACCACCAGAAAUGGAGCCUGCGGCUUAAUUUGACUCAACACGGGAAAACUUACCCGGCCCGGACACAGGAAGGAUUGACAGAUUAAGAGCUCUUUCUUGAUUCUGUGGGUGGUGGUGCAUGGCCGUUCUUAGUUGGUGGGGCGACUUGUCUGGUUAAUUCCGAUAACGAACGAGACUCUAGCCUACUAAAUAGGCGUUCCCAUCCUCUUGUAGUGGGACGUUCUUCUUAGAGGGACAAGCGGCGUUUAGCCGCACGAGACAGAGCAAUAACAGGUCUGGGAUGCCCUUAGAUGUCCGGGGCCGCACGCGCGCUACAUUGAAGGAAUCAGCGUGUGCUUUCCCUGUCCGAGAGGACUGGGUAACCCGUUGAACCUCCUUCGUGCUGGGGAUUGGAAAGUGUAAUUGAUUCCAUGAACGAGGAAUUCCCAGUAAGCACGAGUCAUCAGCUCGUGUUGAUUACGUCCCUGCCCUUUGUCCACACCGCCCGUCGCUACUACCGAUUGAAUGAUUUAGUGAGGUCUUCGGACUGGCGCUCGGAUUGGCCUUCGCGGUCGAGCCGGUGUGCCGGAAAGAUGACCAAACUUGAUCAUUUAGAGGAAGUAAAAGUCGUAACAAGGUUUCG
rnacentral:rRNA from 1 species